UACAGAGGGUGCAAGCGUUGUUCGGAAUUAUUGGGCGUAAAGCGCGUGUAGGCGGCUUUGCAAGUCGGAUGUGAAAGCCCUCGGCUCAACCGAGGAACUGCGUCCGAUACUGGCAGGCUGGAAUCCGGGAGAGGGAUGUGGAAUUCCAGGUGUAGCGGUGAAAUGCGUAGAUAUCUGGAGGAACACCGGUGGCGAAGGCGGCAUCCUGGACCGGUAUUGACGCUGAGGCGCGAAAGCUAGGGGAGCAAACAGG
rnacentral:rRNA from 1 species